UCCGGUUUGUCACCGGCAGUCUCCCAUGAGUCCCCAACUGAAUGCUGGCAACAUGGAACGGGGGUUGCGCUCGUUGCGGGACUUAACCCAACAUCUCACGACACGAGCUGACGACAGCCAUGCACCACCUGUGAUCCUGCCCGUGAGGGAAGCCCUGUUUCCAGGGCGGUCAGGAACAUGUCAAACCCAGGUAAGGUUCUUCGCGUUGCAUCGAAUUGAACCACAUGCUCCACCGCUUGUGCGGGCCCCCGUCAAUUUCUUUGAGUUUUAAUCUUGCGACCGUACUCCCCAGGCGGGGUGCUUAAUGCGUUAGCUGCGCCACCAACGAGCAAGCCCGCUGACAGCUAGCACCCAUAGUUUACGGCGUGGACUAC
rnacentral:misc_RNA from 1 species